AAAAAGGGUCAGUUGGCUAAAUAUGCCACGCUCACCCUAGUUUUGGUGAGUGUUGUAUGGCUAUCAAGACAUAUGGCUGACAUAAUUUGUGUAAACUUAUACGGUAGGCUCGCUGCCGACCCUCCAUUA